GGUGAGCAGCACCAGGCCCUUCCACUGUGACUUCCUGCCACCAAGCCCAUCGACAUCGGGCUGAAAAUGUGACCUGAAAUAGACCUGUGUUGGUGGAGAUGAACAGGAGACACUGGAAAGUCCGACCACUGUGUCUUGGGCUGAUUUUCCAGGUGUUCAGGACCAGGCUCCAGUGGAGAUGCAGGCCUGAAGUAAAAGAAACCCCAGCUGCUCAGGACUUGGGUGGACAGCCUUGUGACCAUUUCACGAAUGAUAAUGUUGAGGAUCCAAAGGGAUGAAGGGUCAGGGUCUACACUGGUCAGUAGCAGAUCCUUGAUUCGGAUCCGUGCACGCGGCCGUGCUUUAUAGAGAUUCUUCGUGGAGUCAGCGAUGGCUUCCAGAUUCCACCCCGUGACUCUGUGAUCUGCUUUCAGUCUGUGUGCACUGUGAAGUAAAACAAUGAUGUUGGAUCGA